rnacentral:rRNA from 1 species
GAUGAACGCUAGCUACAGGCUUAACACAUGCAAGUCGAGGGGCAUCAGGAAGAAAGCUUGCUUUCUUUGCUGGCGACCGGCGCACGGGUGAGUAACACGUAUCCAACCUGCCCUUUACUCGGGGAUAGCCUUUCGAAAGAAAGAUUAAUACCCGAUAGCAUAAUGAUUCCGCAUGGUUUCAUUAUUAAAGGAUUCCGGUAAAGGAUGGGGAUGCGUUCCAUUAGGUUGUUGGUGAGGUAACGGCCCACCAAGCCUUCGAUGGAUAGGGGUUCUGAGAGGAAGGUCCCCCACAUUGGAACUGAGACACGGUCCAAACUCCUACGGGAGGCAGCAGUGAGGAAUAUUGGUCAAUGGGCGCUAGCCUGAACCAGCCAAGUAGCGUGAAGGAUGAAGGCUCUAUGGGUCGUAAACUUCUUUUAUAUAAGAAUAAAGUGCAGUAUGUAUACUGUUUUGUAUGUAUUAUAUGAAUAAGGAUCGGCUAACUCCGUGCCAGCAGCCGCGGUAAUACGGAGGAUCCGAGCGUUAUCCGGAUUUAUUGGGUUUAAAGGGAGCGUAGGUGGACUGGUAAGUCAGUUGUGAAAGUUUGCGGCUCAACCGUAAAAUUGCAGUUGAUACUGUCAGUCUUGAGUACAGUAGAGGUGGGCGGAAUUCGUGGUGUAGCGGUGAAAUGCUUAGAUAUCACGAAGAACUCCGAUUGCGAAGGCAGCUCACUGGACUGCAACUGACACUGAUGCUCGAAAGUGUGGGUAUCAAACAGGAUUAGAUACCCUGGUAGUCCACACAGUAAACGAUGAAUACUCGCUGUUUGCGAUAUACAGUAAGCGGCCAAGCGAAAGCAUUAAGUAUUCCACCUGGGGAGUACGCCGGCAACGGUGAAACUCAAAGGAAUUGACGGGGGCCCGCACAAGCGGAGGAACAUGUGGUUUAAUUCGAUGAUACGCGAGGAACCUUACCCGGGCUUAAAUUGCAGUGGAAUGAUGUGGAAACAUGUCAGUGAGCAAUCACCGCUGUGAAGGUGCUGCAUGGUUGUCGUCAGCUCGUGCCGUGAGGUGUCGGCUUAAGUGCCAUAACGAGCGCAACCCUUAUCUUCAGUUACUAACAGGUUAUGCUGAGGACUCUGGAGAGACUGCCGUCGUAAGAUGUGAGGAAGGUGGGGAUGACGUCAAAUCAGCACGGCCCUUACGUCCGGGGCUACACACGUGUUACAAUGGGGGGUACAGAAGGCAGCUACCUGGUGACAGGAUGCUAAUCCCAAAAGCCUCUCUCAGUUCGGAUCGAAGUCUGCAACCCGACUUCGUGAAGCUGGAUUCGCUAGUAAUCGCGCAUCAGCCACGGCGCGGUGAAUACGUUCCCGGGCCUUGUACACACCGCCCGUCAAGCCAUGGGAGCCGGGGGUACCUGAAGUACGUAACCGCAAGGAUCGUCCUAGGGUAAAACUGGUGACUGGGGCU